ACGCACGCUGGCGGCGUGCUUAACACAUGCAAGUCGAACGGAAAGGCCCUGCUUUUGUGGGGUGCUCGAGUGGCGAACGGGUGAGUAACACGUGAGUAACCUGCCCUUGACUUUGGGAUAACUUCAGGAAACUGGGGCUAAUACCGGAUAGGAGCUCCUGCUGCAUGGUGGGGGUUGGAAAGUUUCGGCGGUUGGGGAUGGACUCGCGGCUUAUCAGCUUGUUGGUGGGGUAGUGGCUUACCAAGGCUUUGACGGGUAGCCGGCCUGAGAGGGUGACCGGCCACAUUGGGACUGAGAUACGGCCCAGACUCCUACGGGAGGCAGCAGUGGGGAAUAUUGCACAAUGGGCGGAAGCCUGAUGCAGCAACGCCACGUGCGGGAUGACGGCCUUCGGGUUGUAAACCGCUUUCGCCUGUGACGAAGCGUGAGUGACGGUAAUGGGUAAAGAAGCACCGGCUAACUACGUG
rnacentral:rRNA from 1 species